CCUACGGGUGGCUGCAGUGGGGAAUAUUGGACAAUGGGCGAAAGCCUGAUCCAGCCAUGCCGCGUGUGUGAAGAAGGCCUUCGGGUUGUAAAGCACUUUCAGUGGGGAAGAAAGCCUUGGGGCUAAUACCCUCGAGGAAGGACAUCACCCACAGAAGAAGCACCGGCUAACUCCGUGCACAGCAGCCGCGGUAAUACGGAGGGUGCGAGCGUUAAUCGGAAUUACUGGGCGUAAAGCGCGCGUAGGCGGUCUGAUAAGCCGGUUGUGAAAGCCCCGGGCUCAACCUGGGAACGGCAUCCGGAACUGUCAGGCUAGAGUGCAGGAGAGGAAGGUAGAAUUCCCGGUGUAGCGGUGAAAUGCGUAGAGAUCGGGAGGAAUACCAGUGGCGAAGGCGGCCUUCUGGACUGACACUGACGCUGAGGUGCGAAAGCGUGGGUAGCAAACAGGAUUAGAUACCCGAGUAGUC
rnacentral:rRNA from 1 species